ensembl:lncRNA
CAGAGGUGCUUUUGGAAAUGUAUACGCUUAUGAAAUCGGUUUUCUAGUUCUGCAGAUUCUGAAGAACGACUUCCUUUGCUCAUUUAUAAUUCUCCUUGGAGGUUUCCCAGGUGUCAGCCUUUGGCUGGUUUCUUUUCACCAGAAACUAGGGCUAUGGUUUAGCCUUAACCCGCAAGGAAAAGCCCGGCUUUGUUUCCGGGGAGCCAGGUCCCUUUGAUAGGCUCUUCUUGUUCUGCAGGCGGGCAAAGAGGCUUAUCACACAUCAGAUUGUUUUUCCUUUGAGGUAACCUCAAACCAAAGCGCACUGUUCCCUGAAGAACACAGAGAGUAAGAACACGGUGCGGUGCCUGGGGUGGCUCAGAGGGCCGGGAAGUCAGGAAGCUCGUCUGGAUUUUGCUGACCUGGCCCCAGAAGGGGCUCAAUCGGCAGGCGUCGGGUGAGGCAUGUGGUCUGGCCACAGCAGCGGACUCUGAGGAAGACAUGGAGACCCCGUGGGCUGAGGGAGACUUGGAGAGCUCCAAAGCGCAGUCUGGAGGGGAGCCUGAGACGCUGCGUGUGUAACACGCCCCCAGGGGAGGCUGCUCCUUGUGGCCGGAGGCCCACGCCGUGAGGGGCAGAACCCUAGGAGAGGACCCCGAAGAAGUUCGGCAGGUGCAGACGUGGGACAGGGUGUUCCUGAGAGCCAGGACCCUCCAGGUGGGCCACUGGGGACUUGGGGGAGGUUGAAUCGUCAGAGAGGCUGAGGCUUCAUUGGAGGGCCUUGAAGUGGCCCUAGGCUUACCUUUUAAUUCUAUUAGGUUUUAGUUCAUUCUGUAAGACUCGGUGUCACAGCCAAUAUUCUGAGAAAUGCAUUGCUGACCCUCCCCUGACAUGGAUCCUUCUGCUUAAGGGUCUUCUUCAUAGAGAUCCUUCCCUACCGUGGAGGUGCGAAGGCUCUCGGAGCAAGCCUGGUGGUGGAUGGCCAGGCCCCGUGGCUGAACUCCUCCAGUCCUGGGCUCCAGCUAGGACUUCUCAGCUCCAUGUCCUGUGUCUGGGACACGGGGCAGCUAGAGCUCAUUGUAUCUUGCAUUUGAAGGAAGGAAUGACCAUUAACACCUCAGCUGUGGCCCAGCAGGACAACAGCAGAGCAGGCACUGCAGUUAGAAUCAGAGGCGCUGGAGGAGCCUGCGGUCAGCUGUCCCCCCGAUGAGCCUCAGCUCAGGCCUCAGCAGGACUUCUACCUCGAGCCGCAGCAGAAGCUGAAGUAAGCCGGGCCCCUCGCCUCGCCCCUUCCCGCAGCCGGGACCCCCAGCCUCCCUGCCUGUCACACAGAACGGCCAGGGCUUGCUCCCUCUUCUGCUCUUCGCUUGUCUGCCUUAGCUGCGCACAUCGUCUGAGGGGCCCAGAUUCGCUUCCCUUCCAACACGGCCGUUCUCGUGAGGGGCCAUGGAGGUAUACAUCCUGGAGUCAGAACUGCCUCCGGGCAGGAUGGGGUUAAAGCCAACUGGAGCACUCCUGAAAAUCUUAUCUUGGGAUGGGCUUGUCUCUUAUCUGUGGGCCUGAGGCAGUCACUUCACCUGUCUGAGCCUUCUUUACCUGCUUGCCUGCUAAGUCGCUUCAGCCAUGUUUGACUCUGCGACCCUAAAGAUGUAGCCUGCCAGGCUCCUCUGUCCAGUGAAAUUCUCCAGAAAAGAAUACCGGAGUGGGUUGCCAUGCCCUUCUCCGGGGAUCUUCCUGACCCGGG